AGGUGAUGUCUCCUAAUCUUUAACAAUGGAGGCACUCGAUCCUGCUGUGGGCAUGACAAUGCCUUAGAUGCUCGUCAUCAAUAGUGGGAUGUGAGGACGGGUUUGAUGCCCA
rfam:Bacillus pumilus SAFR-032, complete genome.